rnacentral:sRNA from 1 species
UAUUGCACACACCGGGGGGAUGAGAAGCCCCGACCGGGGUUCGACAACUGGCGACAGCCAGUUGGACAGACCGUGAACGCAGUGAGCGGGCUGCCCGCAGGGCGANNNNNNGCGAAGCGAGUCAAUCCCCCCCUCACCGCCA